UACGGGGGGGGCAAGCGUUGUUCGGAAUUACUGGGCGUAAAGGGCUCGUAGGCGGCCAACUAAGUCAGACGUGAAAUCCCUCGGCUUAACCGGGGAACUGCGUCUGAUACUGGAUGGCUUGAAUCCGGGAGAGGGAUGCGGAAUUCCAGGUGUAGCGGUGAAAUGCGUAGAUAUCAAGAGGAACACCUGAGGUGAAGACGGGUUGCUGGGCUGACACUGACGCUGAGGCGCGAAAGCCAGGGGAGCAAACGGG
rnacentral:rRNA from 1 species